CCUACGGGAGGCAGCAGUGAGGAAUAUUGGUCAAUGGGCGCAAGCCUGAACCAGCCAAGUCGCGUGAGGGAUGACGGUCCUAUGGAUUGUAAACCUCUUUUGUCGGGGAGCAAGGCACGCCACGUGUGGCGGGAAGGAGAGUACCCGAAGAAAAAGCAUCGGCUAACUCCGUGCCAGCAGCCGCGGUAAUACGGAGGAUGCGAGCGUUAUCCGGAUUUAUUGGGUUUAAAGGGUGCGUAGGCGGAAGGUUAAGUCAGCGGUCAAAUGUCGGUGCGCAACACCGGCCUGCCGUUGAAACUGGUCGUCUUGAGUGAGCGAGAAGUAUGCGGAAUGCGUGGUGUAGCGGUGAAAUGCAUAGAUAUCACGCAGAACUCCGAUUGCGAAGGCAGCAUACCGGCGCUCAACUGACGCUGAGGCACGAAAGCGUGGGGAUCGAACAGGAUUAGAUACCCUUGUAGUC
rnacentral:rRNA from 1 species